GAUGAACGCUAGCUACAGGCUUAACACAUGCAAGUCGAGGGGAAACGACAUCGAAAGCUUGCUUUUGAUGGGCGUCGACCGGCGCACGGGUGAGUAACGCGUAUCCAACCUGCCCAUCACUUGGGGAUAACCUUGCGAAAGUAAGACUAAUACCCAAUGAUAUCCCACGAAGGCAUCUGAAUGGGAUUAAAGAUUUAUCGGUGAUGGAUGGGGAUGCGUCUGAUUAGCUUGUUGGCGGGGUAACGGCCCACCAAGGCGACGAUCAGUAGGGGUUCUGAGAGGAAGGUCCCCCACAUUGGAACUGAGACACGGUCCAAACUCCUACGGGAGGCAGCAGUGAGGAAUAUUGGUCAAUGGGCGAGAGCCUGAACCAGCCAAGUAGCGUGCAGGAAGACGGCCCUAUGGGUUGUAAACUGCUUUUANAUGGGGAUAAAGUGAGUUACGUGUAGCUUAUUGCAGGUACCAUAUGAAUAAGGACCGGCUAAUUCCGUGCCAGCAGCCG
rnacentral:rRNA from 1 species